rnacentral:rRNA from 1 species
GAUGAACGCUGGCGGCGUGCUUAACACAUGCAAGUCGAGCGAGUGAGUUCUUCGGAACGAUCUAGCGGCGGACGGGUGAGUAACACGUGGGCAACCUGCCUCAUAGAGGGGGAUAGCCUCCCGAAAGGGAGAUUAGUACCGCAUAAAAUUAUCGAGUGGCAUCACAUGAUAAUCAAAGGAGUAAUCCGCUAUGAGAUGGGCCCGCGGCGCAUUAACUAGUUGGUGAGGUAACGGCUCACCAAGGCGACGAUGCGUAGCCGACCUGAGAGGGUGAUCGGCCACAUUGGGACUGAGACACGGCCCAGACUCCUACGGGAGGCAGCAGGGGGGAAUAUUGCACAAUGGGGGAAACCCUGAUGCAGCAACGCCGCGUGAGUGAUGAAGGUCUUCGGAUUGUAAAGCUCUGUCUUUGGGGACGAUAAUGACGGUACCCAAGGAGGAAGCCACGGCUAACUACGUGCCAGCCGCCGCGGUAA